rnacentral:lncRNA from 1 species
GCACAGGGGUUCGCCAGGGAGCGAGAGAGAUUAACUUAAUCUCUGGCUGCCCUCUAUUCAACGCGAAAGUCCAAUACUUAUACAGCAGUUUGCUCUAACAAAUCUUAACUAACAUUAAUAGACAACUCUCAAAGGAAACAGCACUCCUAAUUCUUUGGACUCUCUAACUAACUUGCUUGAUGCCGCACGCCAGCCCCGGCUCCCCUAGCCACGGUCCUUCCUGCGGCGCCUGUAGACGUGGCCGACCAUAACAGUACCUUCCGUCCAAGCUUCAAUUCAAAUUGCUGUUGUUCCAAGUUGCUAGCAACAAGGAUACCCCCAAUUCAAUUCAAUAUCUGUUUCACAACAAGUUUCACUUCAUGGGUAAUUUCGAGUGUUAGAAUGACAAGUAUGGCACCCUAGAUUGUUAGUUACGCAGGUAAACAUGCAGAAAUGUAAAGGAAAUUAAUGCUUGCACUGAAGAGCAGAAAUUCACGCGAGAGAUAACAAGAGGCAGUACUUAGGAAAUGCCUCGAUCACCAGAGGCACAAACUGUAGUGAAAUUUCCUACUUAUCUGUUCUCUUGGACUCAUAACUCUGGAAUUCGAUUCACAGGAUCACAAUGUCUAAGAACUUGAUCUCAUUGCUAACUAAUCAAACAUUUCAUAUAUAAAAAGCAGUGCAUAAAUUUUGCAAAUGAUGGCAAAUGCAGCAGUUUCAUAAGUACUUGUUCAAAUAUGAAUAGCAACAGGCCUAUAGCUUCAUAAAGCUAGUACAUAGUAUGAUUACAUUUCUGAAAAUAAGAAAGGUAGCAUGUGAAGCAUAUAACUUCAACACAAACCAUAACUGGUUCAGUAACUGCGUAAACCUAGAUUACUAGUAUGCAUAAAGCUAGCUAGUACACUUCAAGCAAGAAGACAUGUCUUCUAACGCGAUAAGUGGUCGUGGCACUGGUGUAAUACUAACGUACGCAUCUGUUGCACUGGCACGUACGGUUGACUGGACAAGCUUCCUUACCAACAGUAGAAGAAGAACCAAAUCGACCUAGGAAUCUAGGAUGCACGGAUCGGUCGAGCAGCAACACGCUGAGACAAACCCGCAGUUCACCGAAGCAAGAAGUCCAUAUUACCCCCCUCAUCUCUUCCAUGAGUCUAGAAUUCAACCCCAAACUACGAACCCGUCUAACUGAGGUCCCGAACUACGCAAACCAGGUACAAGACCCCCCUGAGCCUACCCCAGACCGGUUUUUGAUCCCCGCUGGUGCCCACGUCGGUCGGGAGUCCAUCCACGUCAGCUUAGGUUAGAUAAAAAGGAACAGCAGCUCGUUUUCCCUUGACGCUGCCCCUCCAAACCUGGCGGCUAUCCUUUUCCGCACCUUUGCAUUGCAAAAAUCCGACAUUUGUUGCAAACAAUCUGGCGGCUAUCCCUUAACUUAACAUUUACAUUGCAAACAACGUUUUGGAUCACACACACACUGAACCUACCUACGAACCUACUACUUAAUCAUCAUGCCAAUAACAACACAUACACAUGCAAACAUUGUUGACAGUAGCACCACUCUUUCUUUCUCAAAUUUCUUGACUUUAUCCCUAAGUGCAACGACUUGGUCAUCCUUCUUCUCCUCUGUGAAGAAGAAUCUGCUCCAACUGUGCUCUCUGAACAAGCAUUUGGUCGACCUAUGCCCUUGUCUCUGAAACUGAAGCUCUCAAUUUUGCAUUAUCCUUAGGUAAAGUCCAAACCUUAUAUCUCUUAAAUCGAUCAAUAAUUGCUUUACAAAAGGGAUGGUGUCAUCGCCAUCAUGGCACCGCCAAAAAUUGCAUCUCCCAGCCUGCCUGUCCGACACAAAUUUAACUUGCUGCUCCACACAAAAUGAAACAAAACCGAACAAAGAUGCAGCAAACAGCUGGUUCAUAUUCUAGUGGCCGCUCCAGAUAACGAACAGGGGACCAAGAGAUUCUAUCAUCUCCUGUGUGUCGGACGGAAGACGCGCUCGAGCGGGACGAGCUCCCGGUUGUCGCGCUCACCAUCUCCCCCCACAGACCUCGUCCCGGGGGUUCAAGAUGCAAAUCAGUCGGGGAGAGAGAGAGAGACCGCCAGGGAGAGAGUCUGAAAGAGAGAGAAAACGAGGGGGCCUGAAGGGAGCGCGGCAACAUGGAUGGACUGCCGGCCGGUGUCGACGCCAGCGGGGAUCAAAACCGGUCUGGAGUAGGCCAGGGGGUGGCAUACCUGGUUUGUGUAGUUCGAGGACGUCAGUUACACGGGUUCAUAGUCGGGGUUGAAUUCUAGACUCAGGGCUCGUUUGGCAACCCGUUUUCCCGUCGGGUUCCAGCCUUUUUCCCGCGGAAAAUUUUCAAAGCUAGUUAACUGGUGUUUUGUAAGCCUGCUAGGCGGGGGAGUCCAGCUCAUCUCAGCCUAAUUUUUCGUGCGGAAUAGCGCCUGGCCUACCGACAUCGGGCAGCACUCCCCGUCUCGCCCGUCCCUCGUCUCACCCGUCUCCCCGCUCCGGCAGAAAGCCGCCGCCGCCACCCCCCAUCUCCGCCGUUGCCGCCGCCGCCGCCGCUCCGAUAGAAAGCCAUGCGACCUCCUCCAAGGAUGCAGGUUCAGAUGCGCCUCCUCUAGCCCUUCUCCCCAUCUCCUCCGAAUCGUCCCCUUCCCCUUCUCACCCCCUCCCCUUUCCUUUCUUGUUAGGGUUCUGCUCCAGCGUCAGCUCGAGUCCUAGAACCGCGGAAUUGCUAGAUCUGCGGACGCGCCGCUGCCUCCUCUGCCUCCGCAUCAGGUGCGUCAGUGUUCCGGUAAUUACUAUGGCAGUUGUAAAGAAGUACUAGUACUAUCAAUCGCUUGUAAUUACUUUGACGGGGACAAAAUUUAACUAUUGUGAUUUUCUUUUUGGCAUUGUGCACUGUUGAUAGUAGAAGACUAUGCAGCGGAAUUGAGGGCUAAUAUUAAAUAGUCAUGCUGAAAAUAGUUCCAUUAGAUGUACACCAUCUUUCGUAAACCCAUGAUGAUCCCAAAGUAGCUAGUCCAUCCUUGUAGUAUCAAUUCAUGAUUCAUGUUGAACUGCACUGAAGAAAGAAACUUCUGGUGCUAUAGUUUGAGGCUCUAAUUAUACUGUUGCAGUGUUGCCUGACAUUCAGUUUUGUUUUUUCAUGGGUUCAGCCAUUCCGUAUUCAAAGAAGAAAGAGACCCCACUUCAUAAUUAUACUCUUAGAAAAGUCUUAUUCCUUUAGUCAUUAGAUCAUUUCUCUGCUCAAGCAUCCUGCAGUAUCUCCUGACUUUUUACUGCUAAGCCACAGAUUUGAAGUGAUCAUGUUAUUCGUAUCACAUGAAAGAGGUCCCACUUCAUAAUUAUACUCUUAGAAAAGACCUGUUCCAUUAGUCAUUAUAUCAUUUCUCUGCUUAAACAUCCUGCAGCAUCUCCUGAAUUUUUACUGCCAAGUGAUGGAUUUGAAAUAAGUGAUCCUGUUAUUCAUGAUUGAACAGCUCUGUUCAUUGUGAUAUAUAAUAUAUUUGAUGUUUUUGUAACUUUUGUACUUGUGCAUAUUUCUGUCAUACUAUAUAUUUCUUGCAUACCUUCUCCAACCUUUAUUUAUAUUUUUAUAUGAUACACUAAAAGUGCUCCCUUAAAUCACAUCUUUAAUAGCAGAAUUGUAGUUUAUGCCAUCAUCUUUUCUGUCCUUUCUGAUAAUUCAUGAUUUAUGAGGUUGUAGCCUUGUAUGAAAUCUUUUAGAACCUAUUUUUUUAAAGACCUAGGCUAUAUGGUGAAAUCCAAGCUGAAAGUUGUUGGUUUUUGAUUUAUUGUUCUAUUUGAUGGGUUACUGUAUUGGUUUGUUAGCCUGAUUUCUCUUAUUGUUCUAUUUGAUGGGUUACUGUACACUAGAUAAUGGGAUCUUGGGAGGAGCAAGUUAGGCAGUUCUUGUUGGAGGAGGAAGAGGAAGAGGAUGAUGAGCUAUUUUUUUACUUGUUCCUGCCAUAAUUCUGUACCUACAAGAAAAAAUACCCGUGCACGCAUCUUCUCUUUCUGGUGCCAAAAAGGUUAAGGAAAUCCUUGAAGGGCAUCCAAGUUGGUGUAAAGUUGAGUUCCGAAUGGAGCCUGAAAUAUUUAAAGCCACAACAGACUUUUUUAGAAAAGAGAAUUUGCUCCAUGACACACGAGGUGUUGCUAUUGAGGAGCAACUCGGGAUGUUCAUGUUUAUGCUCUCACACAAUGCUAGCAACCAAAGGCUACAAAAAGCUUUUCAACACAGCGGCGAGACGAUCCAUCAGAAAAUAACAGAAGUUUUCAAAAUAAUUUAUGCCUUAACUCAUCGAUUUGUGAGACUUCCAAGUUCAUUCCAAACUCAUAUCAAAAUCGCGAUAGAUCCUCAUUUUAUACCCUUCUUUCAGGUGUGCAUAAUCCUUUCCCCGGUCCUUUCGUGCCAAGUCCUUAAUUUCUUUUCUUGCAUGCCAAGUCCUUAAUUUUUCUUUCCUUCCAUGCAGAAUUGCAUUGGUGCAAUCGAUGGCACUCAUAUACCAAUCACCAUUGCAGAAGACAAGACCCCUCCCUACAGAAAUAGGAAAGGAACCCUAUCACAUAAUAUUAUGUUAGCCUGCAACUUCGACCUUAACUUCACAUUCAUUUCAUGUGGAUGGGAAGGGUCAGCAUCAGAUGCAGGAGUCCUUAGAUCUGCUGAUAGCAAAUGAUUUAUUGUGCUAGAGGGGAAGUUCUAUUUUGUAGAUGGUGGGUACGCAAAUACAUCAUCCUUUAUUGCCCCGUAUCGAGGAGUUCGGUACCAUCUCAGUGAGUUUAGAAGGCAUCGUUCGUCUCAAAGUGGUUAUGCAAACUACAAAUAACUGUUUAACCAUCGCCAUGCAUUGCUUCGCAACCAUUUCCCAAAAAGCCAUUUCCCCCUCUUUUACCAAUUGGAAGCACUAUAUGAAGGUGAAGUUCCCUCACUUGCAUAGCUUAAUUUAUUGCUUUCAGCAUCAAACAAUUUUGUGGUUCUAAUAUGAGUUCCAAUUGUCUCCUGAAAAUAGGAAGUGUUGCUACAGGAAAUCUAAACUUCACAUCAACCAUGCAAGUGGAUCCACCUUCUGCUCCUGCACCUCCUCCUCUUGUUACUCCUGCUGUUCCUCCUCCUGCACCUCCUGUUGAAAGAAGUAACUUUGAACAAAGCAGUAGUCACUUGGGUGCGAAUCCAUUUGCUUCGAGUUCGAUGGCCAACAGACUUCUAAUGCACAUAAUGAACGCAAUGAAGCUCAAGAUUCAAGACAAGAAGAAGGUGGACUUGGGAGAAAGUGUAAGCAAAGUCACAUUGAAUCUGCUCUUGAGGGAUAUGUGGAGUACAAAAAGAGCCAAACCAGCAAAACUUUGCAAGCUCUUGAAGAAAGGAAAAGGCAUGACAAAGAAUUUUCAGUUGAGAACUGUGUUGAUCAAGUGGAUGCUAUGAUUGAAUUAACCAAUGAGGAGAAGUCAUAUGCUUUGGAUGUCUUUGAGUCUGAGACACACGGGAAGAUAUUCAUUACAACCAAGAAUCCUAAUGUUCAAUUAAUGUGGCUAAAGCGAAAAAUCAGGUAUGUUUCUUUGAAUAUGCUCAGUGUAUGGUUCAUGAAAAACUUACUAGUUUCAUCAUGUCUAACCAUGUAAAAUUUUGUUUUGUGUGAACCUUCUGUUGCUGACAUGGCUAAAUUAUUUCAACUUUUUUUGUUAAUUGCAGAGUCCUGAUGGGAAGCACUACAUGAUCCGAGAGUUAGUCGCCAAGAUCCCAAAGGUACUUGUCUCUUUGAAUAUGCUCAGUGUAUGUUCUUUGAAUAUUCUUGAAUAUUGAAUAUUGAACACAUGUCAUCUCUGAUCUGUGUUUGGCAUCUCUUUGGGUUCUUGUUUCAUGUUUCUGUAUCAAUUUAUAUUUCAUGAGACGAACCUACACCAUAUUUUUAAAUAUAAUGCCAGAUGCAGCAAUUAGAAGUUACCUAGAUAUUGCUAGGUAUUGUUGAUGAAAUAUGCAGAAUUAUGAAUUCCCGUAUGUCCUUAAUAAAUUCUAGGAAUGGGGAUAAAUUAGUACAACAGAAAUAAUUCUAGAAAUGCAAAUAAUUUGGUAUGCUAAACAAUGGUAGCAAUAUGGACAGCUUGAUAAACCUGAGAGGAGUUCUGGUACUACCGCACCUUGGACCAGUCUGUGUCCUGUAACUGAAUGCUAUCUCGUUGAUAUCUUAUAUCCUGCGGGACUACAAAUAUGCAAGUUUUUACCAUGAUACAUUUGGCAUUGCUAAUCACUGUCAUAACUGAAUGCUAUCUUGUUGAGCUCAGGAAGCUGAAGAAUCACUUCCCUAGAUGAAAGAAAGACUACAAAUCUGUGUUAAGGAGGAGCUCAGGAAGCUGAAGAAUCACUUCCAUAUGUUUGAAUGCUCUGUUUCUACUAUGUGCUGUAGUCGUAAACCUAUAUGUAUUGUAGUAGUAACUGUACAGCACAUAUGUGCUGUAGUCUCGGUCAAACAGGGAAAUAUUGUGCGGUCGCAAAUACUGUUGCAGAAUGUUGUUGACUCCGUCUAUUUCUUGGUAAGCUAGUUGUGUCCUUUUUAUAUGGUCUCUAGUUGUUGACAAAUAUUGUGCUGUAGUCGUAAAGCAGGGAAGACAAUAUUUGUUGUUGGCAAAUAUUGUGCUGUAGUCAUAAAACUUUGCAAUUUUCUAAUUUUCCUUUGUUUUUUUUCUUUGGUGCCAAACAGCAACGGGGUAGGGGGCAGAGGGAACUCACGGGGAAUAAAUUAGCCAAGAAAAUCCCCGUCGGUGAUUUAAUACGCUGGAUUAAUAAUCCUUUGCUUCCAAACUAGACCUCGUGGAAGAGAUGAGGGGGUAAUAUGGACUUCUUUCUUCAGUGAACAGAGGGAAUAAAAGGUUACUAGUUUAGCACUUGACAGGCAACACGCAACACCACGAGUGAAAUUGUAGACUAGUCCAAGGGGGAUAGCAACAGGUUGAGAAUGGCGCUUGCCUCUUCUGGCCGGGGAUGUGUCGCAGAUCUCGCGCUCGCCGCCUUGCCGGAGGUGUGGGUGCUCGCCGCCUUGCUGGAGUCUCGGCUGCUGCUGCUGCUGCCCGUCGGGGUGGCGGGGCGGAGCGCCAGAUUCGGCGAGGCGCCGGUGGAUCCGCGGACGGGGGCGCCGCGCGACGACGGCGAGCCCCUGGCGGCGGCGGCGCGGUGGGAGGAGACGAGGGUUUCGGCCGACGCGUAAAAACCGGUGUGGGCUUCGGGCUAUCGGUCAGAAC